rnacentral:rRNA from 1 species
GGAGCAAACAGGAUUAGAUACCCUGGUAGUCCACGCCGUAAACGAUGUCGACUUGGAGGUUGUGCCCUUGAGGCGUGGCUUCCGGAGCUAACGCGUUAAGUCGACCGCCUGGGGAGUACGGCCGCAAGGUUAAAACUCAAAUGAAUUGACGGGGGCCCGCACAAGCGGUGGAGCAUGUGGUUUAAUUCGAUGCAACGCGAAGAACCUUACCUGGCCUUGACAUCCAGAGAACUUAGCAGAGAUGCUUUGGUGCCUUCGGGAACUCUGAGACAGGUGCUGCAUGGCUGUCGUCAGCUCGUGUUGUGAAAUGUUGGGUUAAGUCCCGCAACGAGCGCAACCCUUAUCCUUUGUUGCCAGCGAUUCGGUCGGGAACUCAAAGGAGACUGCCGGUGAUAAACCGGAGGAAGGUGGGGAUGACGUCAAGUCAUCAUGGCCCUUACGGCCAGGGCUACACACGUGCUACAAUGGCGCAUACAAAGAGAAGCGACCUCGCGAGAGCAAGCGGACCUCAUAAAGUGCGUCGUAGUCCGGAUUGGAGUCUGCAACUCGACUCCAUGAAGUCGGAAUCGCUAGUAAUCGUAGAUCAGAAUGCUACGGUGAAUACGUUCCCGGGCCUUGUACACACCGCCCGUCACACCAUGGGAGUGGGUUGCAAAAGAAGUAGGUAGCUUAACCUUCGGGAGGGCG